rnacentral:rRNA from 1 species
CUUGACAUGUCUGGAAUCCCGCAGAGAUGUGGGAGUGCUCGAAAGAGAGCCAGAACACAGGUGCUGCAUGGCUGUCGUCAGCUCGUGUCGUGAGAUGUUGGGUUAAGUCCCGCAACGAGCGCAACCCUUGUCAUUAGUUGCUACGAAAGGGCACUCUAAUGAGACUGCCGGUGACAAACCGGAGGAAGGUGGGGAUGACGUCAAGUCCUCAUGGCCCAUAUGGGUAG